CCCCCCUGCGUACGCGCCUGGCUCUGACUUCGUCGAGAGGAACUACAUAAAUAGACUUUGUCAGUUUGUGCUGCACAAAAAAGUCAUGACAGCAUACAUUCCUCUACUAUACGUGUAUGCUAUCGAGUAUCGAGCCCCUUUUGAAUUCAAGUCAAGUACUCAGCGAGCGUGUACUCGAGUACUCGGUGUAUUCCUUUGAGCACUAGCGUUGAGAACUGGAAAAGCUUUCUAUCUACAUGUACCAGGCUGUAACUGUUCUUCUAUCAUGACAUCAUGACACUACGGAGAAUUAGCAAGACGGAAUCCGCGUUCGUGUUCGCACUCCAAGCAAAGUCGAACUCAGUGAUGGAAUUUUGCAUUGAGAAGGAUUAGCAAACAGAAUUCACACAUGCAUGACGUUGACACGUCGUACAUUGCUCACAGACAGUACGGCAUUGUAAAUUGAUGACUGUCCUGACACGAAUCCGCGAUUUGUGUUUCGACUACUUUUCCAAACGAAAAAUGCGAAAGUUUGCAAUCCAGUUUGCGAACCGAAAAAUGUUCGUGAACACGAAUGCGAAUUUCGUCUUGCUAAUCCUCCGUAUUGUAGGUGUCUCUUUCCCCGCUGCUGCUGCUGCUGCUGGUGCUGCUGCUAUGGUGCGUAUUUAUGUUUUGGAAUACAGGUGGUGGAAGGUGGAGCUGCCCAGCCCGUUCGUCGACGCUUCCACGACUUGCCGACAUGGCUGGAGGCAUGGACUCUCUUCAUGAACAUCGUGUGUUCUGCCAACCCGCCUGCAGGAGAUGCUCUCAUACCAAGCCACCAUUGUUGCAGCCAACAGGCAAUACUAUCCGGAGGCUUGGCUGUCGUACGACACCCAGUUUCGCUCUGCCAUUUCUGCUCAGCCAGGCAAGCGCUUUGACGUCAUCGACAUCAAUCUGUGGCAAAUGUCCGUGACUAGCCAAUCAAGGCCCACAUGUGAGUCCUGCCGCCUCGUCCAUCCCGGAGGCGGCCAGUGUCCCUUUCUCCGCAACGUAACAACCAGCAAGCCUUCAAUGGGGUCCGUACGGUGUCUAAUGGCCAACCGAUCUGCCGGAACUUCAACGCUGGGCGUUGCAGUCUCAGCAGGUGCAAGUACGCCCAUGUCUGCACCCGCUGCGGGUCCAAGGACCACAACGGAUCUAAGUGCGGUAGGCGCCAGUAACUGUGCUGCUUUGGCUGCAGCUCCCGCGAUUGUACAUAUUUCUCCCUGCACUUCACGUUCCACUGAUUUCACAAGCGCAUGUCCUGCUGUCCACACGCCCUCUCUGUUUCUCGCUUCGAAUCACUGCUUCGUAACCACCCUGACAGUUCAUUGGCUUCGUAUGUUAUUAACGGCCUCCGCUGCGGCUUUGACAUUGGCUUUACCGGCAACCGCAUAACUAACCAACACUAGUCCAACCUCUCAUCAGCAUUCCAGCACUCUGCAUUUGUGUCUGCACAGCUCACCGCUUCCUGCAACGCCGGCUACACGGCUGGCCCAUUUGACUCGCCCCCAUUCUCAUUUAUGUACUGCUCUGGCAUUGGCGCCGUUCCGAAAAAGAAUGGCAAGCUACGCUUGAUACACCACCUGUCCAGCCCUGCCGGCUCCAGCGUUGACGACGGGAUCCCUGCCGAACCUUUCUCUUUGCAGUACAUCAGCAUUGAUGAAGCCAUUAGCAUCAUUAUGUCCUCCCCGUCUCCUGUCUAUCUCUCUAAACUCGAUGUGAAGAGCGCUUUUCGUCAAAUACCUGUCCGCCCACAGGAUUGGCAUCUCCUAGGCAUCCUGUGGCAGGGUAAGUACUACUACGACCGUGUCUUGCCAUUUGGGCUUCGCUCUAGCCCAGCGGUAUUUGAUGCAGUGGCAGCCACCAUCGAAUGGAUAAUGCACCACGAAUUCUCCAUCCCUAAAUUGCUGCAUUUCCUGGACGACUACUUGUGCGUGAGCGUGGGCCAGGCAGUGGCGAAUCGGCAGCUGGCCAUUCUUCUCCGUGCAUUCUCAUACCUCGGAGUCCCGCUCGCGCCUGCGAAGGUGGAAGGCCCGUCUCGUACCCUGACAUUCCUGGGCAUUAUCCUGGAUUGUGAGAAGAUGGAAGCCCGGCUCCCUGACGACAAAUUGGCUGACAUCAAGCGCCUGUUGACUGCAGCGAGCAUCAACCCUACCAUGUCUCCCUCGAACUCGAAUCUCUUCUGGGGAAACUCUCCUUCGCUGCAAGAGUCAUCGUACCCGGUCGGACAUUUAUGCGGCGCCUGUGGUCUAUUUGCAGUCGCUACCAGCAGCCUCACUACCGCAUCAGUCUGACUACCGAGUGCCAGGAAGAUAUCCAAUGGUGGCUACGGCUCCUGGAAGAAUGGAACGGAAAAUCAUUCUUCCUGUUCCCAGAUUGGACACCAUCUCCAGACUUGGAGCUGUUCACUGAUGCCAGUGGCACCCUGGGCUGGGGCGCAUUCAACAGCGGCCGCUGGCUUCAAGGGACCUGGUCGUCUGAGCAACUCGCUCACAGCAUUGAGUGGAAGGAGCUCUACGCGUUGGUCACAGCGUGCUGCACGUGGGGCAAGGAAUGGCGCCAGCUUCGUAUCACAAUGCACUGUGACAACAAGGCUGUGGUAGAUUGCAUCCGCUCCGGCACAUCCAAGUCACCGCCAGUGAUGACCCUGAUCAGGGAGCUGUUCUUUGUGUGCGCCCGCUUCAAUUUCACCGUCGCUGCUGCUCACAUUGCUGGCCAGUCUAACUGCAUUGCCGAUUCGCUGUCUCGUUUCCGCAUGGAGGAAUUUCGGCGUCUCGCCCCAGCUGCUCAAGCACAACCAGACCAAGCAGUGCUGCCAUUCCAGUCGAUGCAAUAUAGCCUUGACAUACAGACUUGGUGUACGGUUGGCUCAUCUCAUAGUCUAACUGACAUACUUCGAUCAGUGCUUUCAAAGAGAACAUCUCCUCUCGCAGAUAGAGUCCUUCUAGACCAGAGACUUGACGUUCGGUUGGCUCAUCUCAUAGUCUAGCUGACAUAAUCAGUGCUUUGAGAGAGAACAUCUCCUCUCGCAGAUAGAGUCCUCCUAAACCUGAGCUUGCCUGUGCAAAUCGUCUCGUCUACCAUUCCAAGUGAUGAACAUGGCUUCAUUGCGUAUUUUGCACCGUCUUUGCAAGUCACAAUUACACUUACCGUGGUGUGACAGAAUACUACGGUUGUACACAUCCAGUUGCAGCUCAAGCCAGAAAGCAGCCAGCAUUCUGCUGGCGUACGUGAGCAACGGUUGCUGUUGGAAUUGUCCAUUGCAGAGAACAGCUUUACUGACCUGC